rnacentral:lncRNA from 1 species
UGUAGUCCCAUCACCCCCAAAACAAGAAAUUUCUCCAAAGUGUUUCCCUUCAAGUAUUGUCAAUUGAAAGACUAUGUGGCUCAGGAAAGUAAAUACAACAAAGAGUAGAACAUAUUUUUGCAAUUUCUGUCAAAUCCUGUUUUUAUGUCUUUCUGAUAUCUAACACCACAAAAGUAACAGUAAAAUAGUAAUAAUAAUACCACAAUCACAAUCACAAAACUCAUCAACCUUGUACCUUUGGUAUUUUUAGACACACUGAACUCCUAUAAUGGCAAGAAUUGGACCCUCUGGGUCUCACUGUGUCACCCAGGCUGGAGCGCAGUGGCACAAUCUUGGUUCACUGCAACCUUCGUCUCCAGGGUUCAAGCAAUUCUCGUGCCUCAGCCUCCCGAGUAGCUAGGAUUACAGGUGCACACCACCAUAUCCAGCUAAUUUUUGUAUUUUUGGUAGAGACGGGGUUUCAUCAUGUUGGCUAGGCUGGUCUCAAACUCCCAGCCUCAGGUGAUCUGUAUGCCUUGGCCUCCCAAAGUGCUGGGAUUACUGAUUUGAGCCACCACGUCUGGCCACAAAAGUUUUUUUUCUUGCUGCUUGUUCAUGAAAGGUCAUUCAGGGACUCUGCUCCUAUGUCACUGUGAUCUUUAUUCCAAGACCCAGACCGAGAGACUGGACUCUACCAGAUAAGGAGGUAGAGAGAAAAAAAAGGGGAUGGCAAAGCAUGUGCUGGUUCUUAAGGACUCUGUCAGUAGCUGAAAUUGCAUUGGAUAAAGCAGAUCACAUGAUCACAUCUAGAUUUAAAAGGCUAAGACAUAUAAUCUUUUCUUAGGAAGGAACGUGGAAUACUGUCAAGCAAUAACAUAGUCUACAACUACAUUUAACUAGAGUGUUACCUUUUACAGAAUGACUCUUAUGAGAUUACGUCCCCAAGAUAAACUUUCAUUAGCAUAACUGUCCCCCAUCUCAGCAUCUGUGAGCUUCAUCCUACACUAACACUGUCUUCCAGUCUUUGCUUCGUUUCCACCUGCUCUUGCUUGAACCUCCUGCUUCAGCCUCCCUGCCUUCUCUUUGCUUCUAGCCUCAUCUUGGCUUGUGAUGCCUUAGUUUAUCUAGUUUAAUUAGUCUCUGAUCUACUGAGCCCUGUUUUGGAUUAUGUCUUGUCUCCUUUCUGGCUCAGCACAAUACAGCUGUCUAUUUAGCAUGUUGCUCUUCUCAUGCUGCUCCAGAACUGUAGAUCAUUCCUAAUUGGCAAUGGCACAGUCUGACAUUUCCAGAUGUACUCCUGUGUCCUGGCUCCAGUCCUAAUGAAUCAGUUAUUACAGCCAGUAUCUCACAGGAGCCAUACCAUCCCAGGACACAUAGUAUUAUCAUUGCAAUUUUAUAGCCAUAUAGACAAGAUGUGAGGAGGUUAAGUUAUUUACCCAGGAACACAGAGAUGACAUUAAAAACAUUUUUGCCCGCUUCUCACUCUUCUUCAGUGUCUACAUAAAGAACCAGGGCACAUGUCCUUGGGACCUCUGGAGGGUGUGUCAUGGAAAACAAAUAAAAAAUUUUUAAAAACCAUGGCAGGUCUCAACAUAACUCAAAGUUUGAUAGGAGCCUCUGGAAGAGCAACGACAUUCAUUUCUCAGUGAGUGGAGAAGGUGGAUGUGGACAUUGAAAGAGACUGCAUCGGCUUUGGAGUCUGAGAAUUGUCUCUCUGGUCUGCAGAAAUGUUCCAGUAGAGUAGAUGAAGAUUAAGUGUGGCCUGGGUGAGUAUGACAGGUGGGUGGCAGGGAGGGAGCUUGAUCUCCACUAUCAGGCAACCAUUCCUUGGGGCUGAGAUCCUUAGAGAAAAGUUAUUUAGGAGGUUCUUUUUCAUAUUUCUGACCUACUAGCAAUAUCCAAGAAUAGAUUACUAAUUAGAGAGUGUUUUUGUUUGUCUCCUCUGUUUCUCCUGCGCCAUCUUUUGCUGUUUCAUUGCUUUCUUCUGACCGGAUAGUACCUCUGAAAUCUUUCUUCUCACCACCCUAAUCUUCACCAGCCCCUCUGCUGGACGCAGGUAGAAUUGAGCUAAUUUUUAAAAAGCAGCAAUAUUUCUAAUAAGGUGUAAGUGUUAGACUCCUGGGGACCCCACAAGGUGUAAACAUUGCUUAAUAUUUCUGCUUCUUCAUUCUUAGAGGACAACACAAGCUUGGUGCCUCCCCGAGAGCAGAGUAAAAGCUCCUCACAAAAAACAAGAUAAACAAACCAACCGAAAACCCACACCCAAAGUCAGCGUUCUCCAAUAAAAUUAGCCUGUUCACAAUCUUGCAUGGAUUUAAAGAGUGUUCAGGCUAACCUCGAAGUGGCCACCGAGUAGCAAGUCCACUAACUCAACAAGUGGGCAGCUGAGUCCUCUUGGUCCCUUGCUACUAUGCCCACCCCUUACAUUUACACAGUUGAAUUUUCUCUUGAGUUAAAAUGCUGCAUUACAGGUGGCUCUGCACUCAACAUAGCACUGGGUCAGGGGCUGGUUGGGGGUUAGGAUAAAUUGUCUCACUUAAAAGUCCACAAAAAUCGUUACCACUUGAUUUAAAGAAGAAAUUUUCAUCAACGUUUUCCAUGUUUGUGUUUUCCAUUAUAAAAUCAUAUCUCAAAACUGUACUCUAAUUAGUGUGGCACCAAACGACAG